ensembl:lncRNA
ACUUUUAAGAGAUCUGUUUUUUUGUUUUAAAUACUUUGCUACAAUGACACACUUAAUUAGCUACCCACCUCAUUCCUUUAUUUUAGCAUGUGCACAUGGGAACUCCAUGACAGUAGCUAAAGCAAGGGGCUAUAGCAGCGCACAAGUAGACUACAAAUGCAUGCUGGGCCCGGCAUGCCCUGAGCUUUUGAUGUGAACGCUACUUGGAGCGGGCGAAAAGGCCGGCAAGUCAGCCUUUGGGUAUCUCGCUCCAGUCAAAUUGGACACGCUCUGCUCUAGCUCCGCUCAGAUCACUAGCCGCGGGCAGCAUUUGUUUCCGGGUAUUCUGGAAUAAGGACACGAGAUAUGGCAAUCGGGCUGGCUUUGUAGUGACUGUGCAAUUGAAGGCAGCAUGUCAGGAGUGAUGGGAUUAUGUAACUGUGUUAUAAUGCGCUAUAUUGUAUUAUUAAAAAUCGAUUGCUAAGGUUCAAUGAAGAUAAUUCAUGAUAUGUUUAGCUUAGUGGAAAAUGUAGACUUUGAUGUUGGUAAGGGGGGCGGGUGGCGUUUUGAUUGAGUUGUUGAUGGGGCAGCACUGUUUUAGCUGUCCCAUAAUGUAUACUUUUGGUGGCAGUACUGUUUUUCUUCCAGAAUCACUAUGUAAAUAAACACCCUUGCACAGAAGUACUUUUACGGCCAUCGUUUUAUUUGAUAGAGGUUAGGUUUUUCAGUUUAGCCUUCUGGCCUACUCUACGCUACAUAUGGUGGCAGCAGUGGGAUGCCGCACCGCAAAUCAGUGAAUUCCAAAAAGAGAUAUAAAGGAACGCGUACUGAGUUGUGUUCGCAGCAUCAACUGUCAGAAAAGGUACCUAAAAUUGAAACGGGGUGGAAUACGAUGGAAUCAUCCGGCGAAGAAGAGGUAAAUUAUGAGAAACUAGGAGCCUGGCCAAGGGGCCAAACACAACCAGAAUCGCUUGAGUUGCAGAUUGAAUCACCAGAUACAGACAUAAAAGACCAGCCAAUUGAAGGAGCAAUUGGAGGACCCGAACCACAACCAACCAUGGUAGCCCUUUUCC